rnacentral:rRNA from 1 species
AGCAGUAGCCGCGGUAAUACGUAGGGUGCAAGCGUUAAUCGGAAUUACUGGGCGUAAAGCGUGCGCAGGCGGUCCGUUAAGACAGAUGUGAAAUCCCCGGGCUUAACCUGGGAACUGCAUUUGUGACUGGCGGGCUAGAGUAUGGCAGAGGGGGGUAGAAUUCCACGUGUAGCAGUGAAAUGCGUAGAGAUGUGGAGGAAUACCGAUGGCGAAGGCAGCCCCCUGGGCCAAUACUGACGCUCAUGCACGAAAGCGUGGGGAGCAAACAGGAUUAGAUACCCGGGUAGUCCCUGUCUCUUAUAA